GAGUUUGAUCCUGGUUCAGGACGAACGCUGGCGGCGUGCCUAACACAUGCAAGUCGAACGGUUUCAAUGUUCGAACUUCGAAUUUCGAGCUUCGAACAUCGAGAUAGUGGCGGACGGGUGAGUAACGCGCGGGUAACCUACCCAACAGACCGGGACAACACUUGGAAACGAGUGCUAAUACCGGAUAACCCAUGACUCUGGCAUCAGAGACAUAGGAAAGGUGGCCUCUAUAUAAAAGCUACCGUUGUAGGAUGGACCCGCGUCUGAUUAGCUAGUUGGUGGGGUAACGGCCUACCAAGGCGACGAUCAGUAGCCGGCCUGAGAGGGUGAACGGCCACACUGGGACUGAGACACGGCCCAGACUCCUACGGGAGGCAGCAGUGGGGAAUCUUCCGCAAUGGACGAAAGUCUGACGGAGCAACGCCGCGUGUAUGAUGAAGGCCUUCGGGUUGUAAAGUACUGUCAUUGGGGAAGAAUGGUCGCUAUGAAAAUAUUGUAGCGACAUGACGGUACCCAAGAAGGAAGCCCCGGCUAACUACGUGCCAGCAGCCGCGGUAAUACGUAGGGGGCAAGCGUUGUCCGGAAUCAUUGGGCGUAAAGGGCGCGUAGGCGGAUAGUUAAGUCCGAUGUGAAAUACCAAGGCUCAACCUUGGGGCUGCAUCGGAAACUGGUUAUCUUGAGGACAGGAGAGGAAAGUGGAAUUCCACGUGUAGCGGUGAAAUGCGUAGAUAUGUGGAGGAACACCAGUGGCGAAGGCGACUUUCUGGACUGUAACUGACGCUGAGCGCGAAAGCGUGGGGAGCAAACAGGAUUAGAU
rnacentral:rRNA from 1 species